AAUAGAUACCCGGGUAGUCCACGCCGUAAACGGUGGGCACUAGGUGUGGGCGACAUUCCACGUCGUCCGUGCCGCAGCUAACGCAUUAAGUGCCCCGCCUGGGAGUACGGCCGCAAGGCUAAAACUCAAAGGGAUUGACGGGGGCCCGCACAAGCGGCGGAGCAUGUGGCUUAAUUCGACGCAACGCGAAGAACCUUACCAAGGCUUGACAUACACCGGAAACGUCCAGAGAUGGGCGCCCCCUUGUGGUCGGUGUACAGGUGGUGCAUGGCUGUCGUCAGCUCGUGUCGUGAGAUGUUGGGUUAAGUCCCGCAACGAGCGCAACCCUUGUCCCGUGUUGCCAGCAGGCCCUUGUGGUGCUGGGGACUCACGGGAGACCGCCGGGGUCAACUCGGAGGAAGGUGGGGACGACGUCAAGUCAUCAUGCCCCUUAUGUCUUGGGCUGCACACGUGCUACAAUGGCCGGUACAAUGAGCUGCGAUACCGCGAGGUGGAGCGAAUCUCAAAAAGCCGGUCUCAGUUCGGAUUGGGGUCUGCAACC
rnacentral:rRNA from 1 species